CAAAAGUUCUGUCAGUCAGCCAUGUAGCAGGUAGGAAGACAUCGAUCUCUGUUCUUUGCUGGAAAUGUCACCAUGGGCUCUGCAACAUCAUGUUAGACUGCUUUAUGUUUCAUCCACUACCUGACUUCGAUCAUGGGAAGCGUAGUUGCUGCCGACGGCUGGCGGGUCUCAGUGAGCAUCGAAGAAAGCCGCCUCCUGUGACUCCCUCAUCACAGUUUCAUCGUGAGGCCUCAUCCUUGCAUGGAGAACUCAGCAGACUCAGAAGCUUUCAAGGAACUCUUUAAAUCACCCAAGUUCAUCAAACUCUACAGCAGAUGUUUUGCAUGAUUGGGUAGCUGGUGAUCACCGGGUCUUGUGUCCUCCAUCUGUGGUGCAUGGGUCUCAUUAUUAUUCUAUGCAGCAAGUUAUGAGAAGCCCUUCUUCUGUGUCGGACGUCUUGCAGGAGUCGCUCACUCCAAGUGCUUUCUCUCUCUUCUGUCGGCGCCACCAUGGAACAACAGGAACCAGGUUUCAGCUACCUCGGCGAGCGGUAGCUGUGAUGGAACCUCAAUGGGACAGCCAGCAAUGACAAACCCUUGGGGUCUCCUGCCUGUGGAGGUUGGACAACGACUCCAGGUGUCGGACGUCUUGCAGGAGUCCCUCACUCCGGGUGCUCUCUCUCUCUCUCUUCUGUCAGCGCCACCAUGAAACAACAGGAAUCAGGUUUCAGCUACCUUGACGAGCAACAGCUCUGAUGGAACCGCAAUGGGACAGUCAGCCAUGACAAACCCUUAGGGUCUACUACUACCUGUGGAGGUGGGACAAGCACUGAGAACACCCAAGAUGAUAUGGGAAUACCUAGACCAGCUGGGUUUGGUCAUGGACAGAUUUCAGGUAUGCCUGAGUCGGCUCGGCAGGUAAAUUGGAGCUAUCAAGGCUUAAAUAGGGUAGCAGAUGACCCAUCAGGCCGUCCAACGCACUGAUCCCUGCACGAUAUUUUGAUAUUGGCAUUCAUUUCAAUUGUUAUUUCC